rnacentral:ribozyme from 1 species
CUGUUGAGCUGGGACAACCGUGGAUUGCAUCGUCGCUGAUGUUGGCCACCCAGUGAGGCAUACCAGGGAAACACUUGGGACUAGCAAUCCAAGGCACAUUAACUGGU